rnacentral:rRNA from 1 species
UACGGAGGAUCCAAGCGUUAUCCGGAAUCAUUGGGUUUAAAGGGUCCGUAGGCGGUUUGAUAAGUCAGUGGUGAAAGCCCAUCGCUCAACGGUGGAACGGCCAUUGAUACUGUUAAACUUGAAUUAUUAGGAAGUAACUAGAAUAUGUAGUGUAGCGGUGAAAUGCUUAGAGAUUACAUGGAAUACCAAUUGCGAAGGCAGGUUACUACUAAUGGAUUGACGCUGAUGGACGAAAGCGUGGGUAGCGAACAGG